rnacentral:rRNA from 1 species
UGGGGAAUCUUGCGCAAUGGGGGAAACCCUGACGCAGCCAUGCCGCGUGCAGGAAGACGGCGUUCUGCGUUGUAAACUGCUUUUAUACGGGAAGAAAAGGCCCAUGCGUGGGACAUUGACGGUACCGUAUGAAUAAGCACCGGCUAACUCCGUGCCAGCAGCCGCGGUAAUACGGAGGGUGCAAGCGUUGUCCGGAUUUAUUGGGUUUAAAGGGUGCGUAGGCGGCCGUAUAAGUCAGCGGUGAAAGUUUCCGGCUCAACCGGGAAAUUGCCGUUGAUACUGUACGGCUUGAGUGCCGAUGGGGUACAUGGAAUUUAUGGUGUAGCGGUGAAAUGCAUAGAUACCAUAAGGAACACCGAUAGCGAAGGCAUUGUACUGAUCGGCAACUGACGCUGAGGCACGAAAGCGUGGGUAGCGA